rnacentral:misc_RNA from 1 species
AGCUCUUAUUCGCUGAUGGUACUGCGAGUUCGCGGGAGAGUAAGUUAUUGCCAGGGUUUUUAUUUUAUACUUUAAACAUUGAUUUUAUUUUUUAUGUUUUUAGAUGUUCAUGUUUUUGAAUGUUUUAUUCGAAUAAUAUAAAAAAUAAAAUAUAUAUUGACAUGGAUUAAACAAAGAUAUAUAUUAUUCUAUGUUGUAUAAACAAAUUGGCAAAAUAGAGAUGGAA